rnacentral:rRNA from 1 species
GACGAACGCUGGCGGCGUGCCUAAUACAUGCAAGUCGAACGCUUUUUCUUUCACCGGAGCUUGCUCCACCGAAAGAAAAAGAGUGGCGAACGGGUGAGUAAUACGUGGGUAACCUGCCCAUCAGAAGGGGAUAACACUUGGAAACAGGUGCUAAUACCGUAUAACACUAUUUUCCGCAUGGGAGAAAGUUGAAAGGCGCUUUUGCGUCACUGAUGGAUGGACCCGCGGUGCAUUAGCUAGUUGGUGAGGUAACGGCUCACCAAGGCAACGAUGCAUAGCCGACCUGAGAGGGUGAUCGGCCACACUGGGACUGAGACACGGCCCAGACUCCUACGGGAGGCAGCAGUAGGGAAUCUUCGGCAAUGGACGAAAGUCUGACCGAGCAACGCCGCGUGAGUGAAGAAGGUUUUCGGAUCGUAAAACUCUGUUGUUAGAGAAGAACAAGGAUGAGAGUAAAACGUUCAUCCCUUGACGGUAUCUAACCAGAAAGCCACGGCUAACUACGUGCCAGCAGCCGCGGUAA